rnacentral:rRNA from 1 species
GUCUAAGGGCGUAUGGUGGAUGCCUUGGGAUAUUGAGGCGAUGAAGGGCGUGGCGUGACUGCGAUAAGUCCCGGUGAGGUGUCUAGCAACCUUUGACCCGGGAAUUUCCGAAUGGGGAAACCCUAUUGCGCAAACCGCAAUAACUCGCCUAGAUUUUUGGAGAUGUUAAAAAAGAGGGAUCGGUAUCGUUGCUGUCGGGAUCCAGAGCGAGGAGCAGACUGGCUCAGUCAAUAAUUCUCGCGACAGAUUCGUCCUCGAGAACAAAAUUAUUUGACGGCUCUGGUAUGUGCCUUCCAGUGUAAAAGUAUUUCUUCACGUGCCGAUCCCUCUUUAAAAGUUCUUUUCUAAGCAGAGGACAAAAAUUGUCCUCUCCAAAAAUCUGGGCGAGCGCAAACCCGCUGAAGUAAAACAUUCUAGUAAGCGGAGGAAAAGAAAAAACAAUCAGUUUUUUAUUUUAUCGGUUUAUGGUUUCCAUAAACUGACGAAAUAAUUAACUGAUCCAUUCCCUUAGUAGUGGCGAGCGAAAAGGGAAGAGCCCAAACCCAGUUAUACGCAUCUCAUUCUGUUUGAUGCGAAUUUUCAAUUUUUAAUUAUCAAUUUUCAAAUAAAUACCCCGCUUGCGGGCUUUGGAAAUUGGAAAUUGGGAUUUGGAAAUUCCGCCGCAUCGAGCAUAGCGAGAUGCGUGUGGUUGGGGGUUGUAAGAUGGUAACGCUUCGGAGCGAUCCGGAGAGGAGUCAACAAAGAUUAUCCUGUUAGCAGAAUCCGAAUGGAAAGUCGGAACCAAAGAGGGUAAUAGUCCCGUAAGCGAAAACAGUUUAAUGCUCCCGGUUAUCAAUCUUGAGUACGGCGAGGAACGAACGCCUUGUCGGAAACAGGCAAGACUAUUUGCCAAGGCUAAAUACUCAAUAUCACCGAUAGUGAACUAGUACCGCGAGGGAAAGGUGAAAAGCAGCCCGACGAGGGCGAUGAAAUAGAUCCUGAAACCAUAUGCUUACAAAGAGUCGGAGCCUUUGCAAGGCAAUGCAAGCACGAAAUCCGAAUAUCGAAAUCCUAAACAAAUCACAAAUCACAAAUCCCAAAUUUUAAAUUCCAAACCGAAUUCAUUCCGUUUGAAAUUUAUGAUUUUGAGAAUUGGAAUUUGUUUCGAAUUUCGAAUUUAUGAUUUCGAAUUUGCACUGCUUUGCAGUGGUGACGGCGUGCUUUUUGCAGAACGAUCCAACGAGGGUGAACCUUGAGUAAUAUCAAGGGGAGGCCCGAACACACGAGCCGUGCAACACUCGGUGAUGAACUGAGGUAAGAAGUGAAAAGCUAAUCGAGCCUGGUAAUAGCUGGUUCUCCCCGAAAUAGCUUUAGGGCUAGCCUCAAGCGUUUCUCAACGGAGGUAGAGCACUGAAUGGAAGCGGAUGGCUUUGCCUACUGCUUCUAAUCAAACUCCGAAUGCCGUUGAAUCAGAGCUUGGGAGUCAGACUGUGGGGGCUAAGCUCCAUGGUCAAAAAGGAAACAGCCUAUGAUCAUGAGCGCAGCUCGCGGACAAUUAACCUGUAACAUUUGACAGUUAACCCAAGAAGUUAAUUGUUAAUUGUAAAAUGUUAACUGUUCGCGAGCUACGCUCGCGUGGUAGGGGAGCAUUUCCAACUGCUGCGAAGCUCACGACGCGAGUCGGAGUGGAGCGAUACAGGAAAAUCCGUAUCGCAAUACUCCGAGAUUUGCCGGAAGUUCCUUCGGGAACAACUUCGUUGAGCGCGCUGCCAAGAAAAACCUCUAGAGCUAAAUUGACAGUGACCGUACCGAAAACCGACACAGGUGGGCGAGGCGA